UUAGAGAACUUGGCGAAACAUGGACUGAGCUUGCUCUCUCUCUCCCCUCCCUAUCCCUCUCUCUCUUUGUGUCCCUACUCUCUCUCUCUCUUUUUUUUCUCCUUCUUCCUGCCUCUUUCUUACAGAUCCAGUGCCCGCUGUGGUUCAUUCUUCUUCUCUCCUGCUGCAGGGACUAACGCCCGGGCUCCAGGUCUUCAUCAUGGCCUGGCAUUCCCCCCUCUCAUUCGGACUCUUUCUCCUCCUGAUUGGCCAGGUGGUGACAGGACCCCAGUCUGACCCCUUACCCAGGCCUGACCAAGUACCUGUGUGUGAAAAACACAGUAGCCUCCACGACAGACUCGAUGUAGUGGAAAAGCGCGUGGAGGACACGGUUCACAAGCUGGAGGAGGAGCUUUCUCUCCUGCUGGAUGUUAUCGAGGGCCCUGAGUGGGGCCCCCUGCUGGACACUGCUGCACCCAUCAUAGACAUUCUUAACAGCAAGGUGGAGGGAGCACAUUCCUGAUAUGAGAGGGAGAGAAACAAAUCGGUGGCAGAGGGGAGACAGACUGAGAGAGAAGGGGAGGAGCCCUGUUUAUUAGACAAGUACCUGGGCUUGUAUAGGGCAGGAACAUUUGAAAAGAGCUCAACAUUGACAACCAAAGAAACCAAAAUUUACUUACCUUACAGAGAGCUAAGACAGUUAACUUCAUUUUUAUUCCAAAAAGUGUUUUUUUUAAAUAUCAUUUUUAUAUUAUUUCUCAAGUUAAUACAGUGCAGAUCACAUUUUAUGUUCAUUUGCAUCAAAACAAAAGAUAUGCUGUGACUAUUACAAGCAAUAAAACGGUGACAUUUGUGAUUAUG